rnacentral:rRNA from 1 species
CCGGAUUUAUUGGGCGUAAAGCGCGUCUAGGUGGUUAUGUAAGUCUGAUGUGAAAAUGCAGGGCUCAACUCUGUAUUGCGUUGGAAACUGCAUGACUAGAGUACUGGAGAGGUAAGCGGAACUACAAGUGUAGAGGUGAAAUUCGUAGAUAUUUGUAGGAAUGCCGAUGGGGAAGCCAGCUUACUGGACAGAUACUGACGCUAAAGCGCGAAAGCGUGGGUAGCAAACAGGAUUAGAUACCCUGGUAGUCCACGCCGUAAACGAUGAUUACUAGGUGUUGGGGGUCGAACCUCAGCGCCCAAGCUAACGCGAUAAGUAAUCCGCCUGGGGAGUACGUACGCAAGUAUGAAACUCAAAGGAAUUGACGGGGACCCGCACAAGCGGUGGAGCAUGUGGUUUAAUUCGACGCAACGCGAGGAACCUUACCAGCGUUUGACAUCUUAGGAAUGAGACAGAGAUGUUUCAGUGUCACUUCGGUGAAACCUAAAGACAGGUGGUGCAUGGCUGUCGUCAGCUCGUGUCGUGAGAAG